rnacentral:rRNA from 1 species
AUUGAACGCUGGCGGCAUGCCUUACACAUGCAAGUCGAGCGGCAGCACGGGAGCAAUCCUGGUGGCGAGUGGCGAACGGGUGAGUAAUGUAUCGGAACGUGCCCAGUCGUGGGGGAUAACGUAGCGAAAGCUACGCUAAUACCGCAUACGAUCUAUGGAUGAAAGCGGGGGACCGUAAGGCCUCGCGCGAUUGGAGCGGCCGAUAUCAGAUUAGGUAGUGGGUGGGGUAAAGGCCUGCCAAGCCAACGAUCUGUAGCUGGUCUGAGAGGACGACCAGCCACACUGGGACUGAGACACGGCCCAGACUCCUACGGGAGGCAGCAGUGGGGAAUUUUGGACAAUGGGCGCAAGCCUGAUCCAGCAAUGCCGCGUGCAGGAUGAAGGCCUUCGGGUUGUAAACUGCUUUUGUACGGAGCGAAAAGGCUCUCUCUAAUACAGGGGGCUCAUGACGGUACCGUAAGAAUAAGCACCGGCUAACUACGUGCCAGCCGCCGCAGUAAAAC